rnacentral:rRNA from 1 species
AACGAACGCUGGCGGCAGGCCUAACACAUGCAAGUCGAACGCUGUAGCAAUACAGAGUGGCAGACGGGUGAGUAACGCGUGGGAACCUACCCUUUGGUUCGGAAUAGCUCAGGGAAACUUGAGGUAAUACCGGAUAAGCCCUUCGGGGGAAAGAUUUAUCGCCAAAGGAUGGGCCCGCGUCGGAUUAGCUAGUUGGUGGGGUAACGGCCUACCAAGGCGACGAUCCGUAGCUGGUCUGAGAGGAUGAUCAGCCACACUGGGACUGAGACACGGCCCAGACUUCAACGGGAGGCAGCAGUGGGGAAUAUUGAACAAUGGGGGCAACCCUGAUCCUGCCAUGCCGCGUGAGUGACGAAGGUCUUCGGAUUGUAAAGCUCUUUUGGCGGGGAAGAUAAUGACUGUACCCGCAGAAUAAGCCCCGGCUAACUUCGUGCCAGCCGCCGCGGUAA